UAACAAGGUUUCCGUAGGUGAACCUGCGGAAGGAUCAUUGUCGAAACCUCCGAACCAGAGAGACCCGCGAACCUGUGAUCACGCCGAGGGGGUCCGCGAAGGUCGCGCCAGUGACCCGACCUGCCCCCCUCGUCGCGGAGGGCGAGCCCCGCCUCGCUCCUCGCGGCGAAACAACGAACCCCGGCGCGAGCUGCGCCAAGGAAAAUGCAACGAGGGAGCACGCCGACGCCGACGCCGCGAAGCGGCGCGCGCGCGGGAUGCGUUGCCUCCGCUCAACGAAAAUACGAAACGACUCUCGGCAACGGAUAUCUCGGCUCUCGCAUCGAU
rnacentral:misc_RNA from 1 species